GGAUGAAGGAGCUUGCUCCUGGAUUCAGCGGCGGACGGGUGAGUAAUGCCUAGGAAUCUGCCUGGUAGUGGGGGACAACGUUUCGAAAGGAACGCUAAUACCGCAUACGUCCUACGGGAGAAAGCAGGGGACCUUCGGGCCUUGCGCUAUCAGAUGAGCCUAGGUCGGAUUAGCUAGUUGGUGAGGUAAUGGCUCACCAAGGCGACGAUCCGUAACUGGUCUGAGAGGAUGAUCAGUCACACUGGAACUGAGACACGGUCCAGACUCCUACGGGAGGCAGCAGUGGGGAAUAUUGGACAAUGGGCGAAAGCCUGAUCCAGCCAUGCCGCGUGUGUGAAGAAGGUCUUCGGAUUGUAAAGCACUUUAAGUUGGGAGGAAGGGUUGUAGAUUAAUACUCUGCAAUUUUGACGUUACCGACAGAAUAAGCACCGGCUAACUCUGUGCCAGCAGCCGCGGUAAUACAGAGGGUGCAAGCGUUAAUCGGAAUUACUGGGCGUAAAGCGCGCGUAGGUGGUUUGUUAAGUUGGAUGUGAAAUCCCCGGGCUCAACCUGGGAACUGCAUCCAAAACUGGCAAGCUAGAGUAUGGUAGAGGGUGGUGGAAUUUCCUGU
rnacentral:rRNA from 1 species